rnacentral:rRNA from 1 species
UACGUAGGGUGCGAGCGUUGUCCGGAAUUAUUGGGCGUAAAGGGCUCGUAGGCGGUUUGUCGCGUCGGGAGUGAAAACCUCGGGCUUAACUCGGGGCUUGCUUUCGAUACGGGCAGACUGGAGGUAUGCAGGGGAGAACGGAAUUCCUGGUGUGAGACGGCUGGAAAUACGGCAGAUAUCAGGAGGAACACCGGUGGCGAAGGCGGGUCUCUGGGCAGUAACUGACGCUGAGGAGCGAAAGCGUGGGGAGCGAACAGG